rnacentral:rRNA from 1 species
CGUCUAGGCGGGUCUGUAAGUCGGGUGUGAAAUCCCUGGGCUCAACCGAGGAAUGGCAUCCGAUACUGCAGGUCUUGAGUGUGGGAGGGGAGAGUGGAACUCCUGGUGGAGCGGUGAAAUGCUUUGAUAUCAGGAGGAACGCCAGUGGCGAAAGCGACUCUCUGGCCCAUGACUGACGCUGAAGCGCGAAAGCCAGGGGAGCGAACG